rnacentral:sRNA from 1 species
AAACCCACUCCUGCUCCCCGUGGUCGUA